rnacentral:rRNA from 1 species
AGCAGCAGCCGCGGUAAAACGAAGGGUGCAAGCGUUACUCGGAAUUACUGGGCGUAAAGCGUGUGUAGGUGGUUGUUUAAGUCUGUCGUGAAAGCCCUGGGCUCAACCUGGGAAUUGCGAUGGAUACUGGGCGACUAGAGUGCGGUAGAGGAUAGUGGAAUUUCCGGUGUAGCAGUGAAAUGCGUAGAGAUCGGAAGGAACAUCUGUGGCGAAGGCGACUAUCUGGGCCAACACUGACACUGAGACACGAAAGCGUGGGGAGCAAACAGGAUUAGAUACCCCUGUAGUCCCUGUCUCUUAUAC